AUUGAACGAUGGCGGCAGGCCUAACACAUGCAAGUCGAGCGAGCGGCGGACGGGUGAGUAAUGUAUGGGAAACUGCCUGAUGGAGGGGGCUAACUACUGGAAACGGUAGCUAAUACCGCAUACCAUCAGAUGUGCCCCGAUGGGAUUAGCUAGGAGGUGGGGUAACGGCUCACCUAGGCGACGAUCCCUAGCUGGUCUGAGAGGAUGACCAGGCACACUGGAACUGAGACACGUUCCAGACUCCUACGGGAGGCAGCAGUGGGGAAUAUUGCACAAUGGGCGCAAGCCUGAUGCAGCCAUGCCGCGGGUGUGAAGAAGGCCUUAUGGUUGUAAAGAACUUUAAGCGAGGAGGCGUUACUCGCAGAAUAAGCACCGGCUAACUCUGUGCCAGCAGCCGCGGUAAUAC
rnacentral:rRNA from 1 species